rnacentral:rRNA from 1 species
CGAAGUAAUGUGAAUUGCAGAAUUCAGUGAAUCAUCGAAUCUUUGAACGCAUCUUGCGCUCCUUGGUAUUCCGAGGAGCAUGCCUGUUUGAGUGUCGUGA